rnacentral:lncRNA from 1 species
CUGAAGAAAGCUGGACUCUCGUCUGGUAUGGUACGACUGAAGACUCAGCCUCGGACCACGUUCCAGAGAUGCACAAAUGAGCCCCAAUCCGGGCACCUACAGACUCAGGCAGAGAUGUGCACCACAGAGCCAAAUGUGUGGGUGUCUCAUGCUUUCUCUGCUCGUUCCCCGGGGCUGCCCAUUACUCCUCUAUGACUGUGUUCACAGAGCAUGUCUGGCCCUUGAAGACUAUCAGUGUCCAGUGCACAGGCCCUGGACUACUCGCUGCCUGACCUACCCUUGGACACAGGGUCAAUGACACAGACUCCGGGAGUAGGUGAGAACCACGCAGCAAGUUCAUCAGAACAGUGCUACAAGCGCCUUUACACCCAGCUCUUCUAAACAGCAGUUCCCCAUUGGCUGGCAUUGUCCGCAUCAGCAGUCCUUGGUCUCUCAAUUAGGUCCUCCAGCAGGAGAUGCUUUUGCAGUUGUGUCUCCUCCCCUGCUCCCCGCAGCAGAAGUUCCUGCUACACUUCACCAAGUAAAAGUUCUUUAAAAUCUUACAUGAAAUAGUAAAUACCAUAGAAAGACAUUAAGUUUUUAUUUCCUGUCGCUCUGUCAGACCCUGCUAACUCCUGAGGAAUUCAACCAGCACUUGAAUUCCCUGUGAGGAAAGUCAGGACAACGCAGAAAUAAAUUCUUCAUUUUAUUGUC